UACGGAGGAUGCAAGCGUUAUCCGGAAUGAUUGGGCGUAAAGGGUCCGCAGGUGGCAGUGUAAGUCUGCUGUCAAAGAAUGAGGCUUAACCUCAUCAAGGCAGUGGAAACUACACAGCUAGAGUACGGUCGGGGUAGAAGGAAUUCCUGGUGUAGCGGUGAAAUGCGUAGAGAUCAGGAAGAACACCGGUGGCGAAAGCGUUCUGCUAGACCUGUACUGACACUGAGGGACGAAAGCUAGGGGAGCAAACAGG
rnacentral:rRNA from 1 species